UGGGGAAUCUUGCACAAUGGGCGCAAGCCUGAUGCAGCAACGCCGCGUGAGUGAAGAAGGCUCUUGGGUCGUAAAGCUCUUUCGACAGGGAAGAAGGGGGUAUACGUUAAUAGCGUAUGUCUUUGACGGUACCUGCAUAAGAAGCACCGGCUAACUCCGUGCCAGCAGCCGCGGUAAUACGGAGGGUGCAAGCGUUGUUCGGAAUGACUGGGCGUAAAGCGCACGUAGGCGGAUGUGCAAGUCGAUUGUGAAAGCCCCGGGCCCAACCUGGGAAUUGCAGUCGAAACUGCGCAUCUUGAAUGCUUGAGAGGGUAGUGGAAUUCCCGGUGUAGAAGUGAAAUUCGUAGAUA
rnacentral:rRNA from 1 species